GACGAACGCUGGCGGCGUGCUUAACACAUGCAAGUCGAGCGGAAAGGCCCUUUCGGGGGUACUCGAGCGGCGAACGGGUGAGUAACACGUGAGUAAUCUGCCCUUGGCUUUGGGAUAACCACCGGAAACGGUGGCUAAUACCGGAUAUGACGGGCUCCGGCAUCGGGGUUCGUGGAAAGUUUUUCGGCCAGGGAUGUGCUCGCGGCCUAUCAGCUUGUUGGUGGGGUAAUGGCCUACCAAGGCUUCGACGGGUAGCCGGCCUGAGAGGGUGACCGGCCACACUGGGACUGAGACACGGCCCAGACUCCUACGGGAGGCAGCAGUGGGGAAUAUUGGACAAUGGGCGGAAGCCUGAUCCAGCAACGCCGCGUGAGGGAUGACGGCC
rnacentral:rRNA from 1 species